ACUCCUACGGGAGGCAGCAGUGAGGAAUAUUGGUCAAUGGGCGCAAGCCUGAACCAGCCAUGCCGCGUGCAGGAAGACCUGGCCUUAUGGGUUGUAAACUUGCUUUUAUAUGGGAAAGAAACCCCUCUACGUGUAGAGGCUUGACGGUACCAUAAGAAUAAGCACCGGCUAACUCCGUGCCAGCAGCCGCGGUAAUACGGAGGGUGCAAGCGUUAUCCGGAAUCAUUGGGUUUAAAGGGUCCGCAGGCGGUCAAUUAAGUCAGAGGUGAAAUCCUAUAGCUUAAACUUNUAGAACUGCCUUUGAAUACUGGUUGACUUGAGUUAUACGGAAGUAGGUAGAAUGUGUAGUGUAGCGGUGAAAUGCAUAGAUAUUACACAGAAUACCGAUUGCGAAGGCAGCUACUACGUAUAUACUGACGCUCAU
rnacentral:rRNA from 1 species